rnacentral:rRNA from 1 species
UAAUACGUAGGGUGCGAGCGUUAAUCGGAAUUACUGGGCGUAAAGCGUGCGCAGGCGGUUGUGUAAGACAGGUGUGAAAUCCCCGGGCUUAACCUGGGAACUGCGCUUGUGACUGCACGACUAGAGUGUGGCAGAGGGGGGUGGAAUUCCACGUGUAGCAGUGAAAUGCGUAGAGAUGUGGAGGAACACCGAUGGCGAAGGCAGCCCCCUGGGUUAACACUGACGCUCAUGCACGAAAGCGUGGGUAGCAAACAGGAUUAGAUACCCUGGUAGUCCACGCCCUAAACGAUGCCAACUAGGUGUUGGGGAAGGAGACUUCCUUAGUACCGUAGCUAACGCGUGAAGUUGGCCGCCUGGGGAGUACGGUCGCAAGAUUAAAACUCAAAGGAAUUGACGG